rnacentral:sRNA from 1 species
AAAACAAAACACAACAGACUCAUCGUUUCUCAUUGGAUCAGUGCUGGGGCUUCAAAGAGGCCUGCUCAUCCCCAUGCUCUUGCGACCCUUUGCCGGAUGCCUCCCUACAGCAGCCGUGCAGAACAGAACUCUUUCUAAAACGUCACCCACAGCAGACGCCAGUGCUUCAGCCAUGGCUUGAACGUUCUCACGUCUCCCACUAUUAUCUGCAUCUGAGUUCUCUUUACUCCCCUUAAACUACGACCGUGAAAGAGAGCGAUUUCUACAUCAUUUAGUUAUUUAUCUCCGUAAUACUCAGGAGUGAAAUUUUUAAAAGUGGCUACCAUUACUCUUGCUGCUAACAAUUGGCAGCUAUCCUGGGGAAGUGGUACGCGGGAUGAAAUGAGCCCCUGUAGGAAACAUGGCCUUUUCUUGUUUCUAAUAUUUUUUCGUCUUUGGUGUCAUCAGUCAAAUUAAUCUAUUUUCUCUUUCCACAUGACUCUCCAAAGUGAGAGAGAAGUUAAGGGUUUGAAGAGGCUGUUCUGGGCUUCCCACUGAACAUGGGGCUUAGGAUGUGGCUGGGCACCUGCUUCCCUUAACCCCUUGAGAUCUGAGAAUUCAGAACCCUUUCCUGUAGCCUAGCAAAAACAAAAACAGGAACAAACAAGGUGGGGGUGGGGUAUGUGGUGGCAUGGGGUGGGGGAUGUAUUACAGAAUACCAGUGCUGGUAUCAUGUUUCUCUUCCCCAUCUCCAUGUCCUAUUCCUCUUCUUCAUUUAUUAUUGUUUUAAAAAAUAACUCAUUGUGUCCAAUUAGUGGUACCUAUUCAUGGCACCAUCCACUAGAGCUUAAAAAAUACACAGACUCUACCUCAUGCUCAUGUAUACUCGAGGGUACAGACCUGACAGUAUACAGAAGACAAGAGAGAACAAUGUAAAGGGCUGAGAGAAAUACAAGUUCUGAGACUUGGGGAGGCACGGUCUCUAUGUAGGAUCCGUGAGUGCCCGGGCAUACUUGGAACUGACACCCGCCGGGACCUACAGGAUGGAGACCUAGCAGGUUAUUGAUUUUGCAGGUGUCUGAAUUUGAAGUGACAAAUUACUUGGUUACAGUCAGCUUUAGUGUUGCCUUCUUUACACAACUACACUAACACAUUUCUAGGCAACUUUGAGGACUCUUAAAAUUAAAACGUUUUAUAAAUAACAAAGCCACAGAGGGAAAACCAGGUGUAUUUACUAUUAUCAAAGUUCAUCUCCAUGUGCGUGUCUGAACAUAGCAACAGCAGCACAGAGGGAUCGCCUCAGUUACCCUGCUCCUCUGGAUCAUUUAGCUGCUGGCUAUGGUAUAGAGCUUCCAUGGUAUAGGACUUCUAUGUUCUAGAACUCCCAUGGUAUAGAACUUCUAUGGUAUAGAACUUCUAUGGUGUAGAGCUUCCAUGGUGUAGAGCUUCUUGUUCCAUCUCUGACUCCUUCCCCUUGCCCUCUGCUACAUGUGCUAUUCCCUCCAUCCCAUGCCAUUCAGAGAACACAGCCCUACACUCCUGCAGAGGCAGACUCAGGUACCUCACAUCUCUGUGUCUAAUCCCUUUGGGGGGGGGGUGAGGAUACACAGCCACCAAGUCUUGUGAAGCUAUGCCAGCCAUCUCAGCCAUUCCCCCGACACAUUCGUGACAUCCUCCUGCCGUAGAGGCUGAGGAUUUAUGUGACUUUAAUUGAAGGCUACAGAAGGGACAGGGAAACAUCAGCUCCUAUCAAUCACCGCGUCCCUUGCUUUCAUUGUGUACUUAACAGCUUGUUACUUAUUCAGGAGGGGGAUUCUGCACUGAGUCUGUCUCCGUGCAAACAGUCUUCCCAGGCUGAAGAAAGCCCUGAAACAGGGAGGUGGCCUCAUUAGGCACACAGGCCUGUGCCGCAUACCGAAACAUGGAGACACAGUGCUGAUGACCACGACUACAGUGGGGGAGUCAAGGGUUCCAGCAUCCUCCCGCUUUCCUGUCUAUGUCCCCGCAAGACUUCCCAGGCGUGUUUGACACCAUGGCCCUUUGUUGUGUUUUCAAAGCGAUCCUUGCUUGGCUCUUCUCAACAAUGAACUCUGCGACUGUUUAACUGAAAUCUCCUAUGGGGGGAACUUGAUGUCUGGUUUACUGUGCUCUCUUACAGAAUGCCUGCAGCACAGCAGACCCCUGAAGGAGCGAGCAUACGGCUGCAUGCACGUGAGGAAUGCUAACACUCAGUCUUGGUUCUGACUCCCCUUUUACCUUACGCCUCUACGCCAUCUGUAGAGGCUUGAGGACCCUUCAUCUUUAUCUUUUCUAAGGGCCAUCCUUUAGGGGGCUCAUUCAAGACCCAGUACGGUUAUCACCCGGCUCUCAGGUACUGCCUUGGCGUGUGAUGCUGAACUGUUCCUCCUGACCCCCAGGCAGAUCUCAGUCCCAAGUUUACCCGCCCAAGGUUUUGCUUCCCAACUUAGCUCAGCCCACUACCCUGGUGGUCGAAGUUAGGUUCCUACUUGCCAGUCGUUUCCCACUGAGCUACUGAUGUGUCUGACCCUGCGGACAGGCUCUUCUGUGAACCAAGGAAGAUGUCACCUGGGAACCAGUUAGAGGUCGCUUGGGCCUUUGUGUGGUCUUUAAAAUAAGGGGGUUUGCAAGCCAAUGAUGCGUAUUUUCUUAAUCCGUUUCACACAGAAGAAGGGGUUUUAGUGUGAGAUUUGCAAUCUUGUUCUUCAUCUAUUUCCCUAUUUCAACCUGACUACCUGGUUCAAAUUACCAACUGAUACCUGGGUAGGUUAUCAUGCAGAGAUAAGUGCCCCCUGCCCCACUGCGCCCCCAACAAUGGAGCAAACAUGACGGUCACCAUACAUGUGACUUCAGUAGUCCCUGGUGGGUGGGCAUGGAGUGACAGUGACCAUCAUGAGCCAACACAGUGAGCCUACAACCUUGAGCUGAAUAUACAAGGUUCCCAUGGGUCUGACACGCCCCGGGGAGUUUCCAUUCCUCUGCCCUAAACCUCUAGGGUUACUGGGAAUUUCUCCAAGGGCACAGGGAAGUGCUUGUGCUUGGAUUCAGAUUCCCCAAACAACAAGGAAAAAACCCAGGGGGCUCAGCGAGCCCCUCUGGAGGUCUGAACAGGUGAGACUGGCAGCUCUGCCUUGGGUUCCACUGGUGGUGGCCGAGUUGGCAGCCAUAGAGAUUUGCUGUGGCAGAAUACUUAAAGAUGUUCACACAGAGGGACAGAAGGGACAGUCGUUCAUUGUCCUCCUAUGGGACUCCAUCACUUGAAAAGUAAGGCCUAGAAAUUACAAUAUCAGCCGACUUCCAUACAUCCAUUUCCUUCACAAUGGUUGGCAUAUGCUGAGAAGGGAAUGCUCGGAGGGGCUGCUCACCACCACCCGGCCUUGCAAAGAACAAGGACACAGGAAGGAAGAAACGCAAUCACUAGCCCAAGGAAGAGACACCCAGGGAUGGGCACCAUUGUGUAGGAUGAGGUGAGGGAUAAUACAAAUUAUGAUUUCAGACCCUGGUAGGCAAGCUACACCAUGUUCUUUUCACAUCUGAAUCUCUGUACAGCAUGUUCUUGGUGACUACAGUCAAGGUCCUUGGAACACUCACAGUAGCUUACUUGAGUUUUUAAAAAGCCAGGUAUAAAUAUCAAUGCUGCUGCAGAGUACGCAGAAUAAAAUUUAACAUCUUUUGAGGGAGUCUUACUUCUGAGGCGCUGUUUGAAGUGCUUUAAGUGUCCUAUCUCGUUAGAUUUACAAUUCGCCAUCCUGUGAAAUCAGUCCUGUGGUCUCUGCCCUUUGCCAUACGAUCACAGACAGGCCCUGGGCAUGGCAAGUUUCUGGGAACAUACAGAUACUGAGCCAUGAAGUUGAGGGAGACUCUUCCCUUCCUUCUUUCCUUCUGAAGAUAAGGAGGGUCUCCCAGCAGCUGGGCUCUAGCUCACCCCCACUAUCCUCCUGGUUCAGCAGGUCAAGUACCAGAAUAAGGAGGCUGGAGCUUAGCUGACUGCCCCAUCUCAGGAGAACUACAGAGCAAGCAUCAGGAAGACAGGCAUAUACUCUGAGCCACAAGAGGAAGCCAGCAGAGAAACCUGUGUGUCCCACACAGAAUAGCCCUUGGAAAAGUGGUUUUACAUCAGCCUCGUCCUCAUUAAUGGUGGAAACUGAAGAGUAAUACUCCAUUUCACUAGGGACUGUUGUUAAAACAAGUCUCAAAGAGGAUAUAAGGAAUGGAACCAUUACCAGACCUGCAACCCACUGAUGAUGCAGAAGCCACUCGGCCAGGAAAACAAGAGAAGGGGCAACAGAGAAGUGAGAGGUGAGGGAGAGGCUUGCUUGGGGUAUGCUGGGUCGGGGCUCACUGGGGUCGGGGCUAGCUGGGGCCAGGCCGAGAAACAGAAGCUGUGCACUGAAGGCCAGUGUUGUGAUGAACUAAGACAGUCCUUUCAGUUCCACUGGGAAACAGUUUCAAGUGGCCAUCACCAUCUGAAGGCCAGGUAUGGGAACUCAUUUUUUCUUCAGAGUGUGGAAUGGGUGCCAGAACCCUGACAACUGUACACCUCAGGAAUGGCUGCCGUGGAGAGUGGGGUGCUCUCCUCGCAGCUUAGUGCUGACUACUCCUGAGGCCUGGGCUGGGUUCUGGGCUGGGAACCUAUAAGCCAAUCCACCUUUCUGGAACACAGAGAGCAUGUAUAAGAAAGCCAGAAUACUCUCCCAGACGUCACUGGAACCAUCUACUGUGCUGCGGUGACAGAGGCCCUGCGAUGUCUGACCCCUCAGAAACUCUCGCUGACUUCUGCCAUGUUCACAGUGAAGUCUGCCCUCCCAGAUGCAAAUCUCUGAAGCCAGAAAACCCCUCCAGGUUUCUCCUUUUCAAACUGUGGCCAGAGGGUGGCAAUCAAAACUAAUUCAAUAGGACACACCGUGGGGAGGGGAUGGGGCUGCAUGCACAGACAGGUACAGUACUGAAGUCGAAUGAGUUUUCACAAGACUGACUGUUUCUGAAGACAUAUCAAGAAAUGUGUUCUGUGGAAGAGGAGCUGGGCAGCCCUUUCCUGAAGAAAGAGACAGACACGUCACAGGAGAUGGGACAGCUGUGCAUUUGCCCCAUGGGACCAGCAUGACUUCCCACCUGGCUGAGUGCUCACCACACAGGUGAGCCUGGCUUCUGGCUCAUUCCUGUGUGUGCUUGCGAUUCUUGUGUAUCUUAAGCUUCUGCAUGGUAUGGAGCGCUGACCAGGAGGUUGGUACUAUCUAUUGAGUCAGUUAAUGAGCCUGGUCACUCCUCCUAAUGUCCUGGUUCUGACACAACCUUCUGUCCCUGCAGAAGGCUUCAUCUUGGCAGCAGGUGUGGACUCUUCUUGCCAGUGUGGCCUGACCAGAGACAUUUCUACCUCCUGUUAUUUUCUAGAUCCCCGUGAGUGCUCAUCAUCCAACAUGAGGGCCAGCACUGCAUCUUCUGAGACAAGGCAGAUGGGGAGAAGUUCAAGGGGACAGUGUCACACUGUCUGUCUGGAUGCUGUGUGUCCUCCCAAGGCAAUCUCUAAGAACCAUGCCAAGGCUUCUUAAAAAUGUCCAGCUCAGGUUUCUCCACAUGGAGGGAGUGAAGUUCAGGCCUUGAGCUUUUACUAAAGAGUUUACUUUUUUAUUGACUAGUGAAGCAGGCUCCCUUAGGGUUGUCGAGGCCAGGGAAGGGGGAGGUAAUUUUAUGCUUAUAUGGUGUCCGUUAGUCUCUGGGUGCCAUGACGCCCUCCUUCCUAACCAUGGAGCUGUGCUCUGUCUUAAGAGUAACUAAGGGCUCACAGGGAGGUGCCAUUCACAUGGGUGAAUUUGAUCCUCACCAUGUGAGGUACCUGUUCAGGGCCUGUUCUUCUGUUUCCUAGCUUGCCUUCCUCAUCUACAAUCUGUGGAUACUCUCGACGCCUACCUCUGUACUCACGCCAACAAGCUGGUGAGUUCUGCCCAGGGAUGGAGACCCAUCUGCAUAGAGAGCUGCUCUGCUGAGCUACCAAACACUCCUUCCACCUUGAUACACUCGGGAGGCUCCGAUAACUUCCAGGACAGCACAGGAUUUGAACCUUGUGACUAUGGAUGGUAUGCAGCUAGUGAGAGCGACUUCAUCCUACAGUGGCCAUGAGAUGAUGGAUGGACAGCAGAUGCUAUCAAUCUAUGGAUUCUCUGAACUGAAACGACCAAGCCUCUUACUAAGAUUGCUGCAGUUUGGAAUUCGAUAUCUUUUGGUAUCAAACCUACAAUGUGACUGUGAAUUACUGUUUCCACGUGGGAAGAUGAGAAUGUUCCCCCUGGUACUUCCUACCACAGUGAUUUCCCUCAUGCAUGGAUGAAGCAAUAAAACAUAUGAUGGGUUGGAACUCUGAAAAUGUGAGCCCAGGUAAACCUUUCUUCUUUUUAUGUUUGCGUAUCUCAGGUAUUUCAUCACAGUGAUGGCAAGUCCACCAACACAGGAUAGUAAAUAUUACACACCUAAACAUCCUCUUUUGCUAUUGAGCUUGGGAUCUAUAGAUCUUAUUAUUUUUUUUUUUUUUAGAUAAUAGAUCUUUCUACUUUCUUGAUCAUGGAAAGACAUACAAUAUCGUAAAAUCUAGAGACUUCUACUUAUAACCUAAUCGCUCUUAACCCACAAGAGUUAGUUCUUGGGUUGGAAGCUCCAACAGCUUCCCUACACCACCUACAAGGCCUCGGAUGCAGAAGCCUGCUGAUAAUGUCCACCUUCAAGACAAUAGCUGUAAGUCCUCCGCCUUCUGGGACAUUUGGAUGGAGACUGUCUUAGUUAAGGUUUUCACUGCCGUGAUAAAGACCAUGACCAUAAGCAACUCUGGAAGAAAGAGGUAACCCCAGUUCAUAUGUCUCAGGGAUACCAGGACAGGGACUUAAGGCAGGAGCCCAGUGCAGGGGCUAAAGCAGGGGCCAUGGGGGACUGCAGCUUACUAGCUUGCUCCUCAUGGUUUGCUCAGCCUGCUUUCUUAUAGAACCAGCCCAAGAGGUAGCAUUACCUACAAUAACCUGGGUGUUCCCACAUCCAUGUUCUGUUCUAUUGAUAUAGACAGUCUCGGUAAUAGCAACACUUGGAACCAAACACUGCUCAGAAUAGAUUAUGUAAGACCCCUUCCUUUAAUCAUGACCCUGUAGGAGGCAGGAAAGAUUAAGCUGGGGCCAAAGAGGCAAGGGCCAGAAUGGGGAGAGACUAGCUCACAGUGAGGUAUUAUGGUAUACCCACUGGAAAGGGUCAUGGUGCCAAGUGUAGGUGAGGGUGUCAUACAGUGUGAGCUGUCAGAUGCUGAUACUGAACAUGAACAUGAAAAGAAGAAGUAGCUAUUAUGGAGUAAAGAGGAAGAUCCAUCUUAUAUAUCAGUAGCAAGAAGUUGAUAUUAUGUGCAUCCUGGGGGCUAAAUAAGAAUGUGCCUAGCAAUACUGUUUACAAUCAACAACAACGUUACUACCUUAUCAAGUUGAUGCUAUUCAGUAACCACAAUGAAUGGACUACAGUUACGAACACCAGACUGGAUUAGCAGCAGUCACUACUCGUGCACAGUGACUGAGCAAUGGGCCAUGAGUACAGAGAGGAAAUGAUGUUCCUUAAUUGAAACAUUUACAUGCAUCACAUGUGUGUCUAUGGAGGCAAGAAGAGGACACUGGAUCCCUGGAACUUAAGUUGGGAGCUGCCUUGUGGCUGCUGGGAACUGAACCCAGGACCUCUGGAAGAACAGCCAGCGCUCUUAACCGCUGAGGUAGUACUACAGCCCCUGACUUUUUAAUUAUAUUUAAUGUCAAUGACUUUAAAUUUAAAUAACCAUAUUAGCUAGAUAUUUACUAUGUUGUGGACUUGGUAUGACAGUGUAAAACAGCCAACUUACAAUUUCCUAUUUACUACAUGUUAAAAUGACAAUAUUUGUGCUAUCCUAACUUAAAGAGUUAUUCUACAUCCACACUUUGUUUCUAUUUAGCAUGCCUAUUAUCAAUGUUCUGAGAUGUUUUAUAUAUGGCUCAUAUUAUACUACAGGCUACAUUUGUUUCUGGGAUGAUUUUGCUGGGAGGUAUUCAAAACAGAAGAAAAAGGAAAAAUUAUUACUAUAAGAUUCUCUUUCUCACAUAUGGUAUGUAUGUAUGUAUGUAUGCAUGUAUGUAUGUAUGUAUGUGUUACACAUCUAACUCAGAAGUCAUGGACAUCAUGCUAGGGAAAUACACUGUCACAGACCACAUCCCAGUUCAACAGUCUCUAUUUCAGUGGAUGAAGCAGCAGGCUGUGAUCAGAACAAGGGUGCUGGCUACUGUCUAGGUCUAGACUUGAUUGGUGGCUUCACGAACUUUUGCUUUAUAACAAUAUGUGAAAGCAUCUGCCUUCAGGAUGUUAUGCUGUGUGAAGCACCGUGUGCAACAGAAUAAAAAGGCAACCACCGUGAGACUCUGGCCCCGAGGUUUAGCGGCAGGAAACUACACAAAGAAAUAGAAUGGCCAUUAUUUGGGCCUGGGAUGAGUGAGGGACAGAGGGCUUUUUUAAGAAACUCUAUGCAGAGGUUCAUGUUUGCAAGAUGAAAAGAAUUCUGAAGACGGGUGGUGUGAUGGCUGUUCAGUUGUGCGAGAAGGCAAAUGCUACGCUGUGUGUAGUCCAUACAACUCAGAAAGCGUGAGUGCACUCAGUCCAUCUCCUCCAUCUCUACUCUAACCCUGACUCCUCCAUGGAAACGUCACCUUCAAGGAUGGCAAGGACACACACGGAGUUCCAGCCCUGAGUCCUUUGCUGGAACCAUGUCCCUGGCAUGGCUUGCUCCCUUUCGCUUGUGGGGUAUUGGCAGUAGUAACAAGGACGCUACUUUGGUGAUGGAGAAGUCACACAUUAUUGGCGUCUAUUUGCCAGACACUGCUAAGAAUUAGAAAGAGGUUCUGACAUAUUCUUGUGGUGUUAAAAUAAGAGUGAACAUCGAGAACUGAAUCUGCCUUCUAGGAAGGUACAAUUGUUCCUUGGUAUACGGUGGGGUUUGGUCUCAGAACUCCAUAAAUGCUCAAAUCUAUGGAUAUUCAUAGUCUUUCUAUAAAAUGUGUACAUUUUGCUUGUAACCUAAGCAAACUCUCCUGAGUACUUUAAAUUGGCUCUAUGGGGUACAAUGGAAUCGCGAGGUAAAUCGCUGCUCUCCCUUACUGUUUCUGGCAUAAUGACUGGAAAUUUGCACCCCUUCAGUAUAAGCACAAGUUUCCCUCCCAAAAUUUCAAUCUGAGGUUGGUUGACUCCUUCGAUGUGCUGCCUAGCAAGAUGGUGAGCUAACACUAUAAACAGGCUAGCCUCCAGAAGGAGCCAGCCUACAGAAAUCACAGGGAGGACCUUUACCAGUGGAAAGCAAGGUGGUUAUUGUGGGUGUGCUGUUUAGUGCCAAGUGUCAGCUUGGCACAGAUUAGAGUCACCUGGAAAAUGACCUCAGAGUGACUGCCAAGUUAGGUGGGCCUGUGAGCAUGAGAUGAUGUUAAUUGAUGUGGGAAGACCCAGCCUAGAGUAGGUGCCACCAUUCUGUGUUUUGGGAUCUCAGACUACGCAUGCAUGAGCUCGCUGUCUCCCUGCCCUUGAGUGUAGGUGUGGCCAACUGCUUCACUGUUCCCUGCCUUGGUUUCCCCAUAAAGACACUGUGACCCAGAACUGUGGGCUGAAACAAACCCCUUUUGCCACCAACUUGCUUUUCCUGUGGUAUUUUAUUAUAAUAACAGAAAGGGAAGGAGGCUAAUCCCUCAUCCUUCUAUAGGUUUGUGUGAAAAGCAUCCUUGCUAAAUAGCAAUUUAAUAAAUAGGAGGGUAUAUAACACACACACACACACACACACACACACACACACACACACACACACACACUGAACCACCAUGGAAAGAGGCAAUGUGAGUGACCCUUUUAGGUUCAAAGCCUCUGCUCAUUGCUGCUGUGGCUUCCAGCAUCUAACCUGAAGUCUAGUAGCCAGUGAACCGCAAAAUCAACAUUGACUUGUUGGGAACAAAUAGUUUGCAUCGCCAGAUUUUUUUGUUUUGUUUUGUUUUUGUUUUUCAGAUUCUACCUUCUCUUAAGUCAGAUAUGUACUGAGAUGAAUACACCAUAACCAUUCUUUUACGGAGGCGAAGUUAUUCUCUGAGGUAAUCGUGAAGCUGAGUCCUAGCAAAGGUUUGUAAGGAGAUGCCUAGCAGACAUUUCUAGCAUGUAACAAAUGCCACCAGGGUCACCCAGAAUGAAGAACGAAUGCCCAGACUCACGGACAGUCCCUGUUCUGAAGGCCACCAGCUGGGCCUUUCUAGGCCAAGGACCUGGGCAUUGUUGUUGAAUGGAGGAGGAGGAGCGUUCAGAGAACUCCACUGGUCAUGUAUAAAUUUGGGAAGUCCAACAGGAUCUACGGCUACCGGUUGUUAACCAUGGAAAUGGUAUGGCCAACACUUCAAAGACUUAGUGUUUCUGGAGGUCCCAGCCAGGUAAGUUUGAGAUGACUCAGACAUCGGCAUUAUUGACGCCCAUCUAAGCAUCUAUCCUAGCAUGAGGUUUUCCUCUGGUUAUGCCAAAGCUCUUUCAUGUUCUUAUUUUGUGUUGAAUGAAAACAUCGGAAUUUCCAGAAUCCCGGAUAUCUGCAUUUGAAAGACCUCAAUGGGGGACUCGGAGGUCCUUGACUUUGCCGAGCUUCAGUAAGGAGGGACAUGUCUCCUCUCUUAGGACUGUUGGGAGGACUAAGUACAACCAUACAUGUCAGUCCUGGAACAAGGCCCUGUUCAUUCCUUCAUCAGUCAGAUUUUCCUCGCUGAGACCAGACGCCAGAGAGAGAAACUCAGAGGAGCAUGUUCCAAAGCUUCUGAGGCCUUGGUCUGAUUCUGGCGGAGCAGAGGGGACAGAGGAAUACAGGAGAGGCCCAGGGAAAGCAAGCAGUAGCACUGAGGACGACAUCUCCAGUGACCGCUGCCUCCUGACUUUCACCAGUUCCCAAUGAGGCCGUCUAUGUUAACGGCUCUGGCAGGGGAAUCUAUCCACUGACAGUGUUAGAGUCCUCAGGAUCGGAUCAUUCUCCCAGACCCAUCAGCCGGGAACCAAGUCACUAACAGUUCCUACUCGGAAGACUCCCCUCGUUUGUGGGAAUGAAAGCAACAUUCUGGUUUAAGUUUCAGAACAGAAUUCAGAGCCCUGAGAGCAUGCCUUGUGCUUUGAGAACAGAAAAGCUUAGGAACUGAGAGCUCUAAGUAGCCGGCCCCUGGGGGUGGAGGUGGGGGUGAGGACCAGAACAGCGCCUAAUUUUGAAGGGAAACAGGAAGAGGUCUGAGUCACACUCAUCAGCUCUCACACCGGGAUCUCCAGGCAGCUACUUAGUAACUUUUCUAUCCUCCUCCUGUGCUGUGAAUCAAAGAGCUUAAGAUCCCAGGCUCUGGAGCCAGCCAGAAUUCUGGUGUGAACCCUAGUCCUGUCACUUUCUGGUUAUGAGACCUUGAACGGAUUGAUUAGUACCUCGAUUUCCCCUGCUGUAAAUGGGAUCAGUAAUACUGCGGACGUUUCACAGCAUGAGGGUUGAGUGAGUUAAUAAAAUGUGUUCACAAGAGAGGGAAUGCUAGCCAUCACAGUUUUAGGGCUGAAAAUGGCAUAGCCUAAGACCAGAUCAUUUUUCACCUGGACUAUUUCAUCUGUCUGUCUGUCAUAUAGAUCUAUGCUGACAGAAGUUUUUCUUUUUUCUUUUUUCUUUUUUUUUGG